rnacentral:sRNA from 1 species
UAUAGCAAAACAAACUAAAUAUGUAUAAAUGAAAAUAAGAAAAAGGAAAAUGUAAGUUUUGUCUUUAUUUGAUUACAUAACAAAACAAGAGAAAGUUAUAAAAGUUAUUUACAAAUGGGAAUUUAAUGAAAAAAACCCUCAACUUUGGCCAGAUCCAUUUUUAAACCCUAAACUAUGUUUUUAGUAAAACAAAUUCUGAACUAAAACCUGUUAAUAAACUUAACCCCAUAGUAAUUAAAUAUUAAUGGGAUAUUAAUUUCCAAAAAAAAAACAACGAGACAUUUGUAUUUAGCGCAAAAACCACAUGAUGUUCUUUAAAACUGUUUUGAAUUUAUUACAAAAAAAACCUUCUAAAUGAUUUUGAAUUGCUUAAUUAGUUUGGAUUUUAGAAGCUGAAAGAAAGAUACAACAACUUAAAAUAAUCCAAGGAGUCAUGCUUAAAUAAAUCCAACCAACAUAACUAUCGAAGCUGUUGCAACACAACAAUAUUUGUCACAAAAAAAAAAACAAUCGUUUCAGAGGGACAAGAUAUUCUAAAGUAAAGACUUGUCAAACAUUAACUUUGAAGAGAAGAUUGUAUUGGCUGAGUGAUAGGGUUCUCUUCAUCCAUUGUUUUCUGUUUUUUCCUUGGUCGUCCUUGAGGUUUCUUGGGUGGUUUUGGCACUGCUUUACGCUUGCAUGAACGUUUGUUGUGUCCGACUUGUUGACAGUUGCUGCAAGUCUAAAUAUGCAAAGAUUAAAUUAAAUAAUUUGAAAAGGAAGAUCUUGUGAAACAUAAUUCAUUGUUCUCUAUUUUACCAUUUGAACUUUUUCACGUGUAUAAGGAACUUUUUGAGGUGGACGAUCUUCAGUUGGAUCACGGAUUCUGUCAUUGUUCUUUGGUCGAUUUUUGGAAAUUAAUAUCUCAUUAAUAUUUAAUUACUGUGGGGUUAAGUUUAUUAACAGGUUUUAGUUCAGGGUUUGUUUAACUAAAAACAUAGUUCAGGAUUUAAAAAUGGAUCUGGCCAAAGUUGAGGGUUUUUUUCAUUAAAUUCCCUUUACAAAUUAGAGUUGAAAGAGAAAAGUGUUUAUUCUCCGUAUUUCUAAAAAAACUACAUACUUUACAUGUAAAAAGUGUAUACUUAUUAUGUAGUGAGGUCGGUGACCCACGUGACAAU